GCCUCUGUAGCUCAGUGACAGAGCACUGGUUUUUAAACCAGGAGUCGUGAGUUCAAUCCUCACAGGAGGUA
rnacentral:tRNA from 1 species